GGCCCCUUGGUCAAGUGGUUAAGACACCGCCCUUUCACGGCGGAAUCACGGGUUCAAAUCCCGUAGGGGUCAUCA
rnacentral:tRNA from 1 species